UACGAAGGGUGCAAGCGUUACUCGGAAUUACUGGGCGUAAAGCGUGCGUAGGCGGUUUGUUAAGUCCGCUGUGAAAGCCCUGGGCUCAACCUGGGAAUUGCAGUGGAUACUGGCAAGCUAGAGUGCGGUAGAGGAUGGUGGAAUUCCCGGUGUAGCGGUGAAAUGCUUAGAUAUGCCAUAGAACACCGAUUGCGAAGGCAGCUUGCUGGACCUGUAUUGACGCUGAGGCACGAAAGCGUGGGGAGCAAACAGG
rnacentral:rRNA from 1 species